GGCGCCUUAGCUCAGUUGGUAGAGCAGUGGCCUGAAGAGCCUCGUGUCGUUGGUUCGAAUCCAACAGGCGCCACCA
rnacentral:tRNA from 1 species